AACGAACGCUGGCGGCAGGCUUAACACAUGCAAGUCGAACGGGUGUAGCAAUACAUCAGUGGCAGACGGGUGAGUAACACGUGGGAACCUUCCUAGAGGUACGGAACAACUCAGGGAAACUUGAGCUAAUACCGUAUACGCUCUUGCGAGGAAAGAUUUAUCGCCUUUAGACGGGCCCGCGUCGGAUUAGCUAGUUGGUGGGGUAACGGCCUACCAAGGCGACGAUCCGUAGCUGAUCUGAGAGGAUGAUCAGCCACACUGGGACUGAGACACGGCCCAGACUCCUACGGGAGGCAGCAGUGGGGAAUUUUGGACAAUGGGCGCAAGCCUGAUCCAGCCAUGCCGCGUGAGUGAAGAAGGCCUUCGGGUUGUAAAGCUCUUUUGUCAGGGACGGUAAUGACGGUACCUGAAGAAUAAGCCCCGGCAAACUUCGUGCCAGCCGCCGCCGUAACAC
rnacentral:rRNA from 1 species